rnacentral:rRNA from 1 species
AUGAGGAAUGCGGCAGUUGACGCGCAAAUGAACGGCGGCGGCGCCUCUUCGUCGCCCAUGAUCCCGCCGCCGUUCUGGUCGACGCCGACGCCGUACCUCUUCAUCGGCUUCGCGGUGGUGAUGAGCCUCAUCGCGGUGGCGCUGGCCGUGCUCCUCUGCUCCCGCCGCAGGGAGGGAGACCGCGAGGACGAGGAGGCGGUCCCGGCCGGGAUGAUGUCCGUGCGCGUGCUGACGCCUCUGGACAGGGAGGUGCCCAAGGUGGUGGUGGUGAUGGCUGGCGACGACAUGCCGUCCUUCCUCGCCAGCGCCACGCCGCUCGCCUUCGCUGAGGCGGCUAAGGUGCAGCGCCCGUACUGCCAGUGCGGCGCCAAGGACGUCGCCGCCCCCGUAUAG